AUGAAGACAGCCAUUAAGAAAACAAAUCGGGUUUCCUUGCUCACUUUAAUCCACUCUUUACAGACUCUCAUAAAGUUUCCAAAAACUGAGACUCAGAAUAUUUCAUUCCCCUUCCUGGCAAACCUUCAGGGGCUUCCUAAUGUGCAGAGAGCAAAAAAUUGCCUUAUCUGGCAUCUGAAAUCCCUUCAGGUGCUAGUGGUAAAGAACCUGCCUGCCAAUGCAGGAGACCUAAGUGACCCAGGUUCGAUCCCUGGGUCGGGAAAAUGCCCUGGAGGAGGCAAUGGCAGCCCACUCUUGUAUUCUUGCCUGGAGAAUCCCACGGGCAGAGCACCUGGCAGGCUGCAGACCACAGGGCCGCACAGUGUCGGACACAACCAAAGUGAUUUAGCAAGAUGCACAAUAUAGACCCAACCCAACCUUCCUACAUCAUCUCCUGCCAGGACCUCUGAACUCCAACUGCAAAGAUCUUACCAUAAACACCAAGUUCAGUAAAAUCUCACCUGCUUUUGAACCCUCUGCUUCUGACACAUUUCCAUCCUUCAAGGUCCAACUGAAACUAACCUUUAAGAUAUUUCCUAUCCUACCCUUUUCCUUCCUUCUUCCCACUCCCAACAAGAAUUACCUGCCCCUUCAGCAAUCUGCUUAUAUUUCUAUGUCAUGUGUAUCUCUUUAUCACAAGAUUAUUGUACCUUCUAUCCCAACUGCCAGGAUGAAUCAAUACUGAAUGAAUUCAUUAGUAUUAUGAAUGCAGGGGUUGGGGGGCAAUUUAGAGGUCAUCUAAUGCCACUUUUUAAUUUUACAGAAGAGAAAAUUAACAAGUAUCUUGCCCAAGAUCAGGAAGCAAGAGUGUGAGGAGCUGACUUGAGAGACUCUGUCCAGCUCCUCUGAGCCAGUGUAGUGCUUUUCUCACAAUACUGUCCUUUUCUUUUAUGCUGGUGUAAGGACUCUUGACUCAGGACAGAGAACACCGACUGUACUGUACUUCCAUGCAUUGGGUGUGAGUAGAUUCCACUCAACUGGGAGUCUUUUCAGCCCCAGACUAGCCCUACCUGGAAGCCAUUUUUGCCUGGACUGGACCCCCCUGCUGACUAUCAUGAAGAUGGCCAACACAAAUGUGAAGCCAUUCCCUAAGAUCACUGGUGCAAGGAGGUGGCUUCAUUAUAGUGUGCUGGGGGUGAGAAAAAGUGAAGAAUGGCAGCUUUAGCCAUAUUAAUAUGCUUUUUUUUUCCCUCUGAAAGUACCAGAAAAUUAUCUAUUGCAUUUGGGAAAAGCUUUUGGCAAUGGCAUUACUUUUAUGUUGGACAUUUUCAGGAUCAAUUUUAAAUCCUGGCAUACAAAGGACUAGAAGGCAAAUGUAACAGUGUCCUAUACAUGGCUGAUGUUAUGUAUUUGCCUACAGAGUGAAGACAUGCAUUAAAUUAGUGAGUUUAAUAUUAGACACAGAAAUGACAAAAGAGAUGUGUGUGCCUGCACAUUCUUUCUUCAUUUUGUCUGCUGGAAACGACUGUACUUAUUAAUUCCUGAAUCCUCAUCCACCUUCCCAUCAAGCCUGCCAUCUUUCAUCUCUAACCUGCAUCUGCUUUAUCACUUUCCUGAGAAAAAUAUUACGUCUAAGGGUUUCUUUAGGGAUUCUGCCUCUAAACCCAGUUGCUCAAGAAAAACUGUUAUCUGAAUUCUGAAAACAAAACAAAAUCUGAAAUACACUAAGGCAUGGAGGCAACUGAAAAUGCUAUUUUCAGGCUCUGAGUUUGCUUANNNNNNNNNNNNNNNNNNNNNNNNNNNNNNNNNNNNNNNNNNNNNNNNNNNNNNNNNNNNNNNNNNNNNNNNNNNNNNNNNNNNNNNNNNNNNNNNNNNUGGAGGCAACUGAAAAUGCUAUUUUCAGGCUCUGAGUUUGCUUAAAUAAUACAUAGUUGACCCUUGAACAAUGUGGGGUUAUUACUGACCCUCUGAACAGUCAAAAAUCAGCAUAUAGCUUAUAGCUAGUCCUCCAUAUACGAGAAUUGAUUCUUCUAUCUGUGGCUCCAUAUCUGAGGAUUCAACAAAUUCUGGAAAAUGUAGACUGUUGUAUUUACUAUUGAAAAAUAUCUGAGUGUAAGUGGGACCCACACAGUUCAAACUUGUGUUGUUCAAGGGUCAACUGUAGACUCUAAACUUAUCUUUCCCAUAUAUGAAAUGGAUAAAAAUAGCUACCUGCUAGGGCUCUGAGCCAACCCACUAGAAAAGACCCCGAUGCCUGGAAAGAUUCAAAGCAAAAGGAGAAGGGGGCGGCCGAGGAUGAGACAGUUAGAUAGCGUCACCAACUCAAUGGUCAUGAAUUUGAGCAAACUCUGGUAGAUUGUGGACAGCAGAGGAGCCUGGCAUGCUGGUGGUACACUGCAGUCGAUGAGGUCACAAUGAGUUGACACAACCUAGCAACUG
rnacentral:lncRNA from 1 species